UUUUCCUAAGCAUCCUUCAAUGGAUCAAUGGGAGAAAAAAAUGUGAUACACACACACACACACACACACACACACACACACACAGAGAGAGAGAGAGAGAGAGAGUGAAAUAUUACUCAACCAUAGAGAAGAAUGAAAUUGUGACAUUUGUGAGAGGGCUUCUCUGCCCACUUGGGGCGGUAACUUGGAGCCCCAUCUGCAGGACCCGAAGUCACUGGCUGCGGAGGCUGCAGGGAGGAGGACCAACAGGGUGUUGGAGAAGAGGCUGGGCACGGGUUAUGAGGCAGAAACAAGACAGACUCCUGGAGAUCUACGCGCACACAGAUUCCUGCUGCAUAACGGAGAAGGCAGCAAAUGAGGAGAAGAACCGGAGUGAUUACUAGCGAAGCCUCAGACCGAUGCUUUACAUUAACAAGAACCAAACUUCUCAUCAGAAAGGUUUUCUGCAAAAUGGUGUAUUCCAUAGAGGAUAUGUUCAUUUGGUUAUGGAGAUCAUUAUUUCUGUAAACUGAUCUAAAUUCUAAUAUUAUUGACCAGACAAAUGUUCCUAGUAAUAUUGCAACCAACCAGCGUGUUUUCCUUUUCCCCUCUCCCCAGAGGUGCACCAAAGCCGACCUGGCCCACGUUUCUUCUUCCUAAAAGGAACCAUCUGCUAAAUUGCUGUUUGAGAUUUGAAGCUAGUCCCAAUUGUUAGUUUAUUAAAUGUAAUAAGUUACAAUAAUGAAGUGUUAAAAUUAUAAGUCACACAGGCAGAAAAAGCUGGAGAUUCCCAAACAGAAUUAUAAAAAUCUUAACUUUUGAA